UAGGGAAUCUUCCGCAAAGGGCGAAAGCCUGACGGAGCAACGCCGCGUGAGUGAUGAAGGUCUUCGGAUCGUAAAACUCUGUUAUUAGGGAAGAACAAAUGUGUAAGUACCUAUGCCCGUCUUGACGGUACCUAAUCAGAAAGCCACGGCUAAUUACGUGCCAGCAGCCGCAGUAAUACGUAGGUGGCAAGCGUUAUCCGGAAUUAUUGGGCGUAAAGCGCGCGGAGGCGGUUUUUUAAGUCUGAUGUGAAAGCGCAAGGCUCAACCGUGGAGGGUCAUUGGAAACUGGAAAACUUGAGUGCAGAAGAGGAAAGGGGAAUUCCAUGUGUAGCGGUGAAAUGCGCAGAGAUAUGGAGGAACACCAGUGGCGAAGGCGAAUUUCUGGUCUGUAACUGACGCUGAUGUGCGAAAGCGUGGGGAUCAAACAGG
rnacentral:rRNA from 1 species